rnacentral:rRNA from 1 species
UACGUAGGGGGCUAGCGUUGUCCGGAAUCAUUGGGCGUAAAGCGCGCGUAGGCGGCCCGGUAAGUCCGCUGUGAAAGUCAAAGGCUCAACCUUUGAAUGUCAGCGGAUACUGCCGGGCUAGAGUCCGGAAGAGGCGAGUGGAACUCCUGGUGUAGCGGUGGAAUGCGCAGAUAUCAGGAGGAACACCAAUGGCGAAGGCAGCUCGCUGGGACGUGACUGACGCUGAGACGCGAAAGCGUGGGGGAGCAAACAGG